rnacentral:rRNA from 1 species
GAUGAACGCUGGCGGCGUGCCUAAUACAUGCAAGUCGAGCGAACAGACGAGGAGCUUGCUCCUCUGACGUUAGCGGCGGACGGGUGAGCAACACGUGGAUAACCUACCUAUAUGACUGGGAUAACUUCGGGAAACCGGAGCUAAUACCGGAUAAUAUAUUGAACCGCAUGGUUCAUUAGUGAAAGACGGUUUUGCUGUCUCUUCUAGAUGGAUCCGCGCCGCAUUAGCUAGUUGGUAAGGUAACGGCUUACCAAGGCAACGAUGCGUAGCCGACCUGAGAGGGUGAUCGGCCACACGGGAACUGAGACACGGUCCAGACGCCUACGGGAGGCAGCAGAAGGGAAUCUUCCGCAAUGGGCGAAAGCAUGACGGAGCAAAGGCGCGUGAGUGAAGAAGGGCUUCGGAUCGGAAAAAGCUGUUAUUAGGGAAGAACAAAUGGGGAAGUAACUAUGCACGGCGUGACGGUACCUAAUCAGAAAGCCACGGCUAACUACGUG